GAUGAACGCUGGCGGCGUGCUUAACACAUGCAAGUCGAACGGUGAAGCAGAGCUUGCUCUGUGGAUCAGUGGCGAACGGGUGAGUAACACGUGAGCAACCUGCCCCGGACUCUGGGAUAAGCGCUGGAAACGGCGUCUAAUACUGGAUAUGAGCCGCGACCGCAUGGUCAGUGGUUGGAAAGAUUUUUCGGUCUGGGAUGGGCUCGCGGCCUAGCAGCUUGUUGGUGAGGUAAUGGCUCACCAAUGCGUCGACGGGUAGCCGGCCUGAGAGGGUGACCGGCCACACUGGGACUGAGACACGGCCCAGACUCCUACGGGAGGCAGCAGUGGGGAAUAUUGCGCAAUGGGCGAAAGCCUGACGCAGCAACGCCGCGUGCGGGAUGACGGCCUUCGGGUUGUAAACCGCUUUCAGCAGGGAAGAAGCCGCAAGGUGACGGUACCUGCAGAAGAAGCACCGGCUAACUACGUGCCAGCCGCCGCAGUAAUAC
rnacentral:rRNA from 1 species